rnacentral:rRNA from 1 species
GACGAACGCUGGCGGCGCGCUUAACACAUGCAAGUCGAACGGAAAGGCCUGCUUUCCCUUGUGGAUUGCGGGUACUCGAGUGGCGAACGGGUGAGUAGCACGUGAGUGAUCUGCCCCCAACUUGGGUAUAAGCCUGGGAAACUGGGUCUAAUUCCCGAUAGGACUGCAGGGUGGUGCCUGUGGUGGAACACGAUUUUCUAGUGGUUGGGGAUGAGCUCGCGGCCUAUCAGCUUGUUGGUGGGGUAAUGGCCUACCAAGGCGGCGACGGGUAGCCGGCCUGAGAGGGUGGACGGCCACAUUGGGACUGAGAUACGGCCCAGACUCCUACGGGAGGCAGCAGUGGGGAAUAUUGCACAAUGGGCGGAAGCCUGAUGCAGCGACGCCGCGUGGGGGAUGACGGCCUUCGGGUUGUAAACUCCUUUCGACCGCGAGGAAGCCACCUGGUUGGAAGGGUGGUGACGGUAGUGGUAGAAGAAGCACCGGCUAACUACGUG